GUGCCCAGACUAUCAAAUUAAAUGUAGGGAUAACAUAGAGUGUAUUUAUAAAUCAGGCCUAUGUAAUCAAUAUACCAGUUGCAGAGAUGGAUCUGACGAGGAUGAAGAAAUGUGUAAAGCUCGUCCUUGUGAAAACAACCAGGUCAAGUGCGCGGAUGGUGUUCAAUGCGUCCAUAAUUCUACUUUUUGCGAUGGAACGAAACACUGUUCAGACGGUUCUGAUGAAGAAGGAGUGAUGUGCAAAGCAUAUGUUUGCCCUGAGUGGAAAAGGAAAUGU